AGCUUUCCGCAGAGGCGAUAUCGUAACCAAUGAAGUUCUACUGAGGUGCGAUUAUUGCUGGUUGAAAAUCGAUAUGACGUCUCGGCGGGUGCUGGAGGGCGGUACUACUGGUUUUACCGGUUUAAGUGCUCUACUCACAGACAAGUGAUGAAGCUGUUGAAUCUGACGAAGAUAAAAUAAAAAAUAUAUUUU